GAAUUAUCGUAAGCAGGUGAGGUAGCUUGCAUCUAGAGUUUUAUGUGGUCCCAAGGGAUUAGAAAACUGAAGAUGGUAUUUAUUGUUGUUGUUAUCUACAGUCUAUACUCUUCCUUCCCCCCUCACUUCUUUCCUGUUCGAACAAAAGAAAAAAAGAGGGCAUUUUUAAUCAACUUCCAUUCCCCUUUUUUUCAAAAAUUGUAGGGAUGCAUUUGCUGAGUUAUAUACUUGGCUGACUGUAGUUUGUCUUAUUUUUCCAGGGUCAAAUGCUAACUGUGGUUGAAUAUCUGAUGCUGCUAU
rnacentral:misc_RNA from 1 species